rnacentral:rRNA from 1 species
AACGAACGCUGGCGGCAGGCUUAACACAUGCAAGUCGAACGCCCCGCAAGGGGAGGUGCAGACGGGUGAGUAACGCGUGGGAAUCUACCGAUUUCUACGGAACAACUGAGGGAAACUUCAGCUAAUCCCGUAUACGCCCUACAGGGGACAGAUUUAUCGGAAUUAGAUGAGCCUGCGUGGGAUUAGCUAGUUGGUGGGGUAAUGGCCUACGAAGGCGACUAGCUAUAGCUGGUCUGUGAGGAUGAUCAGCCACACUGGGACUGAGACACGGCCCAGACUCCUACGGGAGGCAGAAGUGGGGAAUAGUGGACAAUGGGCGCAAGCCUGAUCCAGCCAUGCCGCGUGAGUGAUGAAGGCCUUAGGGUUGUAAAGCUCUUUCAGUGGGGACGAUAAUGACGGUACCCACAGAAGAAGCCCCGGCUAACUUCGUGCCAGCAGCCGCCGUAACAC